UACAGAGGUCGUCAAGCGUUGUUCGGAUUCAUUGGGCGUAAAGGGGUGCGUAGGCGGCGCGGUAAGUCGGGUGUGAAAGUUUCGAGGCUUAACUUCGAAACUGCAUUCGAUACUGCCGUGCUUGAGGACUGGAGAGGAGACUGGAAUUCAUGGUGUAGCAGUGAAAUGCGUAGAGAUCAUGAGGAAGACCAGUGGCGAAGGCGGGUCUCUGGACAGUUCCGUGACACU
rnacentral:rRNA from 1 species